CCUCUGCCCCAGAGUCUUCUGAGCUGUCCAUUUUCACAGACGUCAGUUGCCCUAGGUGGAACUGGACUUUAAUAUUCUCCACAUCCCUUAUUUUUUCCCAAAACAGUUUACCAGCUUUUUCUUUCCUGAACCAGGAGCAAUAGCAAAAAUUGGGAAUGGGAAGAAACAGGUACCAGCCAGGACACCUGAACCAACUUGGAGCUCAGGAACCCAGGAGGGGACUGGAAAGAGUGGGGAGACUCCGUGGUCCACAAUGAAUGCUCCUUCCCCAUCCAAAAAAAUCCCCUAGCCCAGUUUUUGGGCAGGUGCCAGACUUUUAUUCUGAAGCGUGGGCCACAACCUAUGAGGUAAUCUUUGGAGCUUCAUUCUGAGGCGGAAUCCCAUUGGCCAGUUGGGGAAGCUCCUCCCAGGAUUCCUGGCGCUCCGCCUUCCCCGAAGCCUAUAAAAGCGCAGGUCCCCGCCUCGGCAGCCGCGGGACACCUGCAUCUGCCAACAAGACUGGAAGCAGAGAGGGACAGAGACGGCGAAGUUUGACGGUCUGGAAAGCAGAGACCAGCAGGGCUGACUGCUUGGGAGGUAAGUUCUGGGGACAUGGUACAGGGUGAGGAGCAGGUAUCAGUGCUAGUUGCGACCCCUCUGUGUCUCCCCCCCGCCACCCCAUUGCCAUUCUGAAACUCCCCAGGAAGAAGCUAGGAGGGGAAAUAAAUUGAGUGGGGGUGGGGUUUCCCAAGAAUCGGAGGAACCGAGAACGAAGAGGGGUGGAGGAACCGGGAAAGAGAGAGAGGAAAAUCAAGUUUCCUUCAGCACGAGGGACAGCUCUCCACUGACCGAAGGAGGAGAAUGCUAUUUAUUUCAGCACCAAGUAUCCGGACAGCGCCUCUCGGGAGGUCCGAGAAGAGAACCGCGGUCUGUUUCAGCACCGGGGCUCAGGACAGUUCCCAGAGGGCUCCGUUUCGGCUCCAGAACCCUGGACAGCUCCCCCAGUAGAGACGGGGUUUCACCAUGUUGGCCAGGCUGGUCUCAAACUCUUGACCUCUUCAUCCGCCUGCCUCAGCCUCCCAAAGCGCUAGGAUUACAGGCGUGAGUCACUGCGCCUGGCCCAAGUCUGGAAUUUUCAACAGGACAUGGGUGUCACUGUGCCCACGUGACAUUUGGGGAACCCAAGGCCCUGAGAAAGGCAGAAAAAUAACCCACGCAGGGGCUCUCAGCCCACAAAUGAAGCUACCCUGUCUCUCUCCAGGAGAACCGGGAAUGGAAAACAGGGAGGCAGUACAGAGGCAGGAAACUCAGGUGUCACAGCUUGGCUCAGCCUCAGGGCUUUUGCCUUUGCUGUUCCUGCAGCUUGGAAUGCACUCCCUCCACCUCCACCCAGAGCUCCCCACAACUGACCCUGCUUUCUUCUGCAAGCUCCAUUUCAUCAAGGGAAACGAUCCUUAUUGCCUCACCAUUUCCCACAUGAAGUCUGUAUUGACAUUCUCAUAGACCUGGGAUAUUGUGUCUGCAGCACAUAGUCCAAUUAUUUUCAUGUUAUCUACUGACAGCUCUAUUUGUCUCCCUGUUACACUGUGAGCUCCGUGAGGGCAGAAACAAUGUUUGUAUUUUCACUGCUGUGUCCCCAGUGCCUGGUCCGGGGCCCGGCACACAGCAGGCAUAUAAUAAGCAUGUGUUGAAUCAAUAAAGGCAUCAAAGAAUAAACCAAUACAUCAAUCAAUA